AUUGAACGCUGGCGGCAUGCCUUACACAUGCAAGUCGAACGGUAACAGGUCUUCGGAUGCUGACGAGUGGCGAACGGGUGAGUAAUACAUCGGAACGUGCCUAGUAGUGGGGGAUAACUACUCGAAAGAGUGGCUAAUACCGCAUGAGAUCUACGGAUGAAAGCAGGGGAUCGCAAGACCUUGUGCUACUAGAACGGCCGAUGGCAGAGUAGGUAGUUGGUGGGAUAAAAGCUUACCAAGCCGACGAUCUGUAGCUGGUCUGAGAGGACGAUCAGCCACACUGGGACUGAGACACGGCCCAGACUCCUACGGGAGGCAGCAGUGGGGAAUUUUGGACAAUGGGCGCAAGCCUGAUCCAGCAAUGCCGCGUGCAGGAUGAAGGCCUUCGGGUUGUAAACUGCUUUUGUACGGAACGAAAAGCCCUGGGUUAAUACCCUGGGGUCAUGACGGUACCGUAAGAAUAAGCACCGGCUAACUACGUGCCAGCCGCCGCCCGUAAAAC
rnacentral:rRNA from 1 species